rnacentral:rRNA from 1 species
UAGCUUGCUAGAAGAUGACGAGUGGCGGACGGGUGAGUAAUGCUUGGGAACUUGCCUUUGCGAGGGGGAUAACAGUUGGAAACGACUGCUAAUACCGCAUAAUGUCUUCGGACCAAACGGGGCUUAGGCUCCGGCGCAAAGAGAGGCCCAAGUGAGAUUAGCUAGUUGGUAAGGUAACGGCUUACCAAGGCGACGAUCUCUAGCUGUUCUGAGAGGAAGAUCAGCCACACUGGGACUGAGACACGGCCCAGACUCCUACGGGAGGCAGCAGUGGGGAAUAUUGCACAAUGGGGGAAACCCUGAUGCAGCCAUGCCGCGUGUGUGAAGAAGGCCUUCGGGUUGUAAAGCACUUUCAGUUGUGAGGAAAAGUUAGUAGUUAAUACCUGCUAGCCGUGACGUUAACAACAGAAGAAGCACCGGCUAACUCCGUGCCAGCAGCCGCGGUAAUACGGAGGGUGCGAGCGUUAAUCGGAAUUACUGGGCGUAAAGCGCACGCAGGCGGUUUGUUAAGCUAGAUGUGAAAGCCCCGGGCUCAACCUGGGAUGGUCAUUUAGAACUGGCAGACUAGAGUCUUGGAGAGGGGAGUGGAAUUCCAGGUGUAGCGGUGAAAUGCGUAGAUAUCUGGAGGAACAUCAGUGG